rnacentral:rRNA from 1 species
UACGUAGGGUGCGAGCGUUGUCCGGAUUUAUUGGGCGUAAAGGGAGCGCAGGCGGUGACUUAAGUCUGAUGUGAAAGCCCAUGGCUCAACCGUUGAAGGUCAUUGGAAACUGGGUCACUUGAAUAUAGAAGAGGAAAGUGGAAUUCCAUGUGUAGCGGUGAAAUGCGUAGAUAUUAGGAGGAACACCAGUAGCGAAGGCGGCUCUCUGGACUGUAACUGACGCUGAGGCACGAAAGCGUGGGGAGCAAACAGGAUUAGAUACCCU